UGGGUCAGUGGGCAUGACUCCUUUCCGUACACACUCCUCUGUUAAAAUUGAGAUCGCUCUUAAUAUAAUACGACGUUUAUCGACAUCCAACGAGUUAAUUUUUCUUGACGAGUCUCAUUGUAUUUUGAUUUUGACGGGAAAUAUUUCCGGAAGGGAGACAACUCGAAACGAUAAUAUGGAAGAUUUCAUUUCGGCUGAAGGGGUGUUAUAGGUAAAACUACAUUGAUUUUAAUUUAAAUGAUGCAUAUGAUUUUAAAUUAUGCAACAACAAUAUUAAACCCUCAAUAGCAGACAGACAUAGAAAGAAUCCCAUGAGUUUCAAAUUAAUUUAUAAGCGGGGAAUCCAGAGCAACCACUCAAUCUGAUACCCCUUGAAAUCAAGAAAACUAUACGCAUGCGCAUUAAUACAUAAACAAACCCGCG
rnacentral:lncRNA from 1 species